rnacentral:rRNA from 1 species
UACGUAGGCAGCAAGCGUUGUUCGGAGUUACUGGGCGUAAAGGGUGUGUAGGCGGUCUCGUAAGUCUGGUGUGAAAUCUCCCGGCUCAACUGGGAGGGUGCGCCGGAAACUGCGAGGCUAGAGUGUGGGAUGGGAGAGUGGAAUUCCUGGUGUAGCGGUGAAAUGCGUAGACAUCAGGAGGAACACCUGCGGUGUAGACGGCUCUCUGGACCACUACUGACGCUGAAACACGAAAGCGUGGGUAGCAAACAGG